UGGGGUGUAGCUCAGUGUUAGAGCACUUGCCUAACAUGUGGGAAGUCCUGGGGUUCAAUCCCCAGUACAACAA
rfam:Ictidomys tridecemlineatus contig035268, whole genome shotgun sequence.